rnacentral:rRNA from 1 species
CCUACGGGUGGCAGCAGUGAGGAAUAUUGGUCAAUGGCCGUAAGGCUGAACCAGCCAAGUAGCGUGCGGGAAGACGGCCCUAUGGGUUGUAAACCUCUUUUAUGCGGGGAUAAAGGUGUCCACGUGUGUCUGUUUGCAGGUACCGCAUGAAUAAGGACCGGCUAAUUCCGUGCCAGCAGCCGCGGUAAUACGGAAGGUCCGGGCGUUAUCCGGAUUUAUUGGGUUUAAAGGGAGCGCAGGCCGGCCUUUAAGUGUGUCGUGAAAUUUUGUGGCUCAACCCUGGGAGUUCGGCGCGAACUGGAGACCUUGAGUGCGCGGAAGGCAGGCGGAAGUCGUGGUGUAGCGGUGAAAUGCUUAGAUAUCACGAAGAACCCCGAUUGCGAAGGCAGCCUGCCGCAGCGUUACUGACGCUGAGGCUCGAAAGCGCGGGUAUCGAACAGGAUUAGAUACCCUUGUAGUC